GGAACAGGAUGCUGUCAGGCCGAGGAGACGCAUCAAUCUAACGGGGAGAAACCGCAGCAGCAUCCUUUGUUUUCUGGAGCUGGAGACCCAGCUGUGAAACCCACUGACAACCUGCAGGACCUGGAGCAGAAGGGGGAGGAGCCGAGCUCCAACAGCCAAUAGCUGAAGCUAAGAAGCAGCCAAUGGGACAGCUCCAAACAGAUAUUGUGGCGAGCGUGGAGAGGUGGCGUGGCGGCGAGGCGUUUCUAUCCUCCGUUCUCUGGUUUUCCUUGGGCCCUGUGAGAGCACUGAUCCACACCGCUGCACUGAGACACUCUCAUCACUCUUUGUCCUUCUCUCCUCUCUGUCACUGUCCUCUCUCCUUCUAUCCAUCUCUCUGUCCGUCAGCGGGUCCUGAGCAGCACGCAGUAAAGACUCUGUGAGGUUGUAGAGCCGCUCACAGAGAUCGUCCUACUCAGGCAAUGCAGAAGUAUAUCUGAACCCAGUGUUCAGCCCCCCCCCCAGCCCAGAGUCUGGCCCGGUGCCACAGGGUCCAUCAGGCGAUGAGGAGGGCCAAGGGGCUCAUCUCUUUCUAGACUUUCUCUUCUCAACCUUGUGUCUUCAUGUAUUGGGGGUCCUCCGGUGCCCCCGCCCUCUGUCGACCUCCCCGCACCUGCUGCCACCACGGCCGGCCACCCCAGUCGCUUCGUUGCCAUGCCGACAGAGACACUGGCUCCAGCCCUGCCAGAUAGCAAGGCCGCUGGCCCCGCAACGCCCUUCAGUUCCACCGUACCCCUCCGCAUCCUCAAUAAGGGCCCGGACUACUUCAGGAGACAGGUGGACACUAACCCAAAGCGUCUCAGUGCUGUGGAGAGACUGGAAGCUGACAAGGCAAAGUAUGUCAAGAGCCAGGAAGUUAUCAACGCCAAGCAGGAGCCAAUCAAACCACCUGUGCUGGCUAAGCCUCCCGUCGGUCACACCCUCCUGUCCAAAAGGGGCUCUGGGAUUGGUGGAGGCGGAAAUGGGGGCGGGAUACCUUUCAAAGCAUCCAAUAACAACGCUAAGUCAGACACAUGUGCAGGCAGCAGCAAACGAGAGAAUUUAAACCUGGAGAUCCUUAAAAAUCUGCUAAACUCAUCGUCAUCUUCAGGAGCAACGUCCGAAGGACGAGGGGGCGGAGCUAAGAGUGCUGUGUUGAUGAGGUCAGCAGGGGGAAUGGCCAGAAGUUGGACACCAUCAGGGAUGCCGUUGACCUACCGAUCCACCAUGGCGCUGAAUGAGCAGCCCCCGGACUCAGCCCCCAGCCCCAGCACCUCACACUCCCUGCGCUCCUUCUCCCAUUCUCUGAAGGUCCCUCCGCUGAACAGCGGGGGGCGUCGCAGUCCACUACAGGGUGGAAACCUCAACCUUAGCAGACGAGGUGAAGGAGUCAUCGAUCGCUCUCGCUCCCCCCUCCCCCCCCUCCUCACCUCCCACUCCUCCUCCGACCUCCUGCGACUGUGCAAUGGAAAGCCCCUGCGCACGGCCCGGUCCAGCAGCUCAUCGGCUCCACCCCUCCCACCCAAACCCAACCCCGCCUCCCUCCCACCUCCCGCACUAUCCUUUUCGUUGCCCCCCGCUCGUCCAACUCCAUCCCCUUCGCUCUGUGACAACAGCACCCCACAGUCGCUCCCUUGUGAUUUGGGAGACCCUUCAAAUACUUCAACAGAUGCCAACCUGGAGCUUGGUUCCUCGGUGGUCCGUCGCUCCUCGCUGCACAGAUCGAAGUCAGACCUGUCAGACCGCUACGCCCGGGCCGGAGCUGACGUGGAGCGCUUUUUUAACUACUGCGGCCUUGACCCAGAGGAGCUGGAGGCAGUGGGUCCAGAGAACUUUGCUCGGGCCAACUCGGACAUCGUCAGCCUGAACUUUCGAUCCGCUUCUAUGAUCUCCUCGGACUGCGACCGAUCGCGGCGAUCUUCCAACGACGGGCUGUCAGACGCGGCUGAGGAAGAGGAAGAGGAGGCCGGGGAGCGUGUUCCAUAUGGCAUCUCGGCUGUGGAGCGAAACGCUCGAGUCAUUAAGUGGCUAUACAGCAUCAAGCAGGCAAGAGAGACACAGAAGGUCUCCCAUGUUUAGGACAAGCAGUACAGUGGAGUGGAUGUACUUUAACCUACAGACUCAUGUGUCAGAAUGUAUACAUGGACCAGAAGUUCUAACAGGUUUAGAGACGAUCUUGGCGCUGAACUGAACAUUUGUCAAAGUGUUUGGAUGGAUGAAUAGAUGGAAAAGAAGACCCACGGGUGUAACAAGCUUGGUGUCAUGUAUAUGGUUGUGUCAACAGCUUCCCAUUACUUCCCACAGUGUGAUGAGGCUGUGGCGCAGUGGGCUAGUGCGUUGGUGUUCGGAUCAGGGGAGCACAGAUUCAAACCCCACUGCAGUCAGCAUGUCGUUGUGUCCCUGAGACACUUCCCCCCAAAUUGCUCCUGUAGGGAUUGCCCACAGUAUUGAGUAUGUAAGUCGCUUUGGAUAAAAGCGUCUAACAAGUAACAUGUACUGUAAUGUAAUGUAAUGAUGAGAUACCUCUGUUCAGCAUAGCUCACUGGCAAAGAGAAAACGAUAGUAGUCGUAUUCACUGCUGUGUCAGUGUUACAGUCAGAGUGCUAACUAACAAACCAUUACGAUUAUUACUUCCACCUGUGCUUUUCCUGCAAUGACAAGUCAAAUGUCCACUCUGAGAAAGGCCUGUUUCACAGUGUUGAUGUCUCCGUUUAAAGAAACUUUGAUAAGGGUCCUGACAUCUUGGCAAAACAGACAUUGAACUCUAUCUGUCAAAAAUGAGAUAUCACUUUGGAAAGUCAGUGAUGCUGGUACACUGUUUGACCAUUAUGAAGUCAGGUCAGAUAUCUGUUUGAGGUGACUGUUAAAUGAACACUUCAACACUAACUUAAUGGGUCACAAAGACUAUUAGUUAAUCGAGUUGUUAACUACAGUAUGACAUUUCAAAAUGCUGAGAAACUAAUGAAACACAAAUGGCCGUAAACUGGCUUUGACUAAGCUUCAGCUCUUGUUAAGCUAGAUAUGUGAAUGAGAGAUAAAGGGUUUGAAGUGUGUGUGAUGAAUGAUUGAUGAAGGAAACAGAGGACAUUGAAUGACACACAGAAUAUAAUUAUAAUCACUAAAGCAUACUUAUCCGUACAGCAUUAAGGCUACACCAAUAUACAUACUGUACUCUAUGCUGAUGAUUAUUAACAAAUAGUCAUCAACCUGUUUCACAUUUCACUGGAGUGUUUUAGUGUCCUGUGAUGGACCAUUCAGAGGCUGUUCCUCCUGCCAAUUAGAAUUCAAAACAUGAAUACAUGAAUUUGAAGUGAUUGUAUCUCAUGAUGCCGCUGUAUUUUUUUGUGAAGUUCAAAUGAACUAUGGGGCGUCUACGCUUUAAUAUGGUUUUGACUUGUGUGAACUGCAGCAUGCUUUGGCUGUAGUCCAAAUGUACUUCCAAUUGUAGGUUGUUCUGAUGAUGCAGGAUGACAUCACCAAAGCUGUCCAAUGAAUGAUCCAAUACUCAUAUUCCUCCUUUUAGUUAAUGGAAAGGUCAGAACAUUAAACUAUGCAUAGUGGCCUAAACAAUCAAACCUGUACUUGUAUUACAUAUGUAAUCACUUCUUCAGUUGUUACUCAGUGAAGUGUCUUACAUACCUUCACAUGCUUAUCUGUGGGAUAAUUCAAAAGAACCUGAAGCCCCUGAGUACAUCACACAAUCCACAACUUUAGAAACCACAGAAUUUGCCUCUAAGAUCCUCUAAACUCAUUCGCAGUCUAGGAUUAAAUAGAUAACACCUCAAGCAUUUCCCAGCUGUAAUAUCCUUUAUAUAUACAGUCUAUGGUAAUAUCGCAAAACACCAAAACCCUCCUUUCAAAACAAUGGUAUCUGUGAUUAUGUAGAGCCCCAUGCAUUAUACAUACACUGAAAGCAAUACUAUCGAACUUCUCUGUUAACUAUUACAGGACAUGUUACAGUACAGUAGAGUAUAGGAAGGUCAAAGGGCAAUUGUGGUAAUUUCAUUUGUCAGUGUUCUUUCCGAAUGACACUUCAGAUGUUGGCUCUUUAUAGACACAUACAUGCAGUUUGCAUCCUACAACCACAUACACAGAAGGAACUCCAGCAAUGCUUCUGUAUUAAGUUUUAGACAAGUUGAGUUUAUGAUGCUGUGCUUUGUCUCUCUCAGGCUCUGUCUCUGUCUCUGGGUCCUCAAAGCCAGCCACAGGAAGGAACCUGUAGCUUUACCUUGUGUGUUAGCUGAUAAUGAAGGUUGGAUGAAUUACGCAGUUUACCUCCACCCUCCACUUUGUCACCUGUCUACAUGUCUGCAUGUUGCCGGCAUGUCUCUAGGCCUGAAGCCAUAUUGGUGUGAAUGCAGCGCCUCAGUCAGUGUCUACCUACUGUUAGUGUGUCUGUCUGCCACCCCCCCCUCCCCCCCCCUCUUCAGUCUGUCAACAGCUACAACCGGCUGGGCUUCACUUCCAACAAAACACUCCCCGGGCGGUAUCGGUGGUAUGGAUGCAUCAACAUCUGAGGUUUGCUGGACAUAAACAAAUGGCAAAAUAUUGUGUAGCACAGGGCUGAUGGAUAGUUGCUAGCCCCUAAGCUAAACUGUUGUAACAUUUAUCAAACUGUGCAUUUUGGCCACCACUUCACUACUCCAGGUACAUUAAACCACCUUUAGGACAUGAAUUGGGCCAAUUAUGAUACAGUAUAGCAAGCAACACAGAUGUGGUAAAUGAUAGUGUACUAAGUGACAUCUGGAUUUUGUAUUAGAUUUGAGACAGUUGAAAUGAACGUUUUAAAUAUGUUUUCAAUGUUAUGUCCUACAAAAAACCUUACCUUACAACUUAAUACUGGGAUCCAAUGGGGGACAAAUCCAACAAUCCUGGAUCCACCCAAAACUCCAGCUGAAAUGAAUAUGAUGUUUAAUCCAUCUGUGUAAGCCAAAUCAUCGUGUAUAUCAUUGUGUUGGUGUAUAUGUUUGUAUAACCCUAACCCUAGCAAUGCUGUCCAAAGAAAAGACACAGAGGAAAUGUCUUACAUUUUUUAUUUAGACUGUUGGCAUUGUAGGAGUUGUCGGUGGUCUCAUUUUUUGAUGCAUCCCGUCUUCCUUUAGAGUGGAAGUGAAGUGAGGGCCCCCCCCCCCCCAUCACCUCGCUCUCAGCUCAGGGUUGUGUAAGCACGUUCCUGUCCAACCCCCUGACAAGCCCUCCCAUGUGUUCCUCUAAAACCCGGACCCCCUGCUGCUUCUCUCUCUCAGCAUUCAUGAAAACAAUAAGGUGAUGUCCUGGCAGCAUCAUCAUGCUUCAGUUUUUCUACAUGGUGUGUAUUUAGUUCUGUUUUGUAUCUUUGGAUUGACAGAUAGAGUUCUUCUGUGGUACUUAUUGUUUUCUUUUUUUCCAUAUGUAAAUGCUGUAAGAACAAAUGUAUAUAUUUCAUUUCAAAAGCCACGUGUUGGAUUUCAGUUUUUCUCUGUCUGAAGGUCUACGUGUUACAAAAGAUUCCGAUAAAAAAAACUGCUGUUUUGCUCUUUGCCCUCGGUACAGAACUGCCUGAUCACACUGAGUGUUUCAGAGACGUAGUGUUGACUGUGUUUUUCGACGUGGAAACUGUUACAUUUUGCUUGAUUAAAAAAAAAAAAAAAAAAGUGUCCAUGUUUAGUUUCUUUUGAUUCUUUCAAUAAAUGGCUUAUUUUGCCAUCUCUCUCAGUGAUGUUCUUUUAAGUUGU